rnacentral:rRNA from 1 species
AAUCAACGCUGGCGGCGUGCCUAACACAUGCAAGUCGAACGCGAUUGAGGCUUCGGCCUCAGUUGAGUGGCGAACGGGUGAGUAACACGUGGGUGACCUACCUUCGAAUGGGGGAUAACGUCUCGAAAGGGACGCUAAUACCGCAUAACAUCCUGCCUUUGAACAGGCGGAGAUCAAAGCCGGGGAUCGCAAGACCUGGCGUUUGAAGAGGGGGCCCGCGUCCGAUUAGCUAGUUGGNGAGGUAACGGC